CUAAAGAACCUGGCUUUUACAUUGAUAGAGGACGGGCAAUUGCAGAAAAAAUUUAUACAGGAUCCAGAAGAACUAUGCACCAGAAAAUUAAAAUGAUGAAUGAACCUGUAUCUGGAAAAGUGCUACAUUCUAUCUAUAGAUGAGCUAAUCUGCAUUAUUCUCCAACUACAGGACAUAUGUUAACAAGCUGAAACCUCCUGUCCUAACUAUUUAAGCACAAGAAUUUUCAAACAGAAAGAAAGGAAGGGGAAAUGAGAAUGGACAGAAAAAGAAAGAAACAGGGAGAGAGGAAAAGGGAAGGAAGGAGGAAGACAAAAGAGGAAGUAAGAAAAAUGAAAGCCCCUUUCAAAGAAUGGGAAAGAAUAAAGGAAGGCUUUGAUAUACUGUUAAUAUCAUAUAAGAUUAUGAUGAUUGAAAGGAAAUGGUGGCUCAUGUA